AACGCGAAGAACCUUACCCAGACUUGACAUUGAUGGAAUCCCUUGGAAACUUGGGAGUACUCUUCGGAGACCUGAAAACAGGUGCUGCAUGGCUGUCGUCAGCUCGUGUCGUGAGAUGUUGGGUUAAGUCCCGCAACGAGCGCAACCCUUAUCGUUAGUUGCCAUCAGGUUAUGCUGGGCACUCUAGCGAGACUGCCGGUGUCAAACCGGAGGAAGGUGGGGAUGACGUCAAGUCCUCAUGGCCUUUAUGUCUGGGGCUACACACGUGCUACAAUGGCAUCUACAAACCGCUGCGAACUCGCAAGAGGGUGCAAAUCGGAAAAAAGAUGUCUCAGUUCGGAUCGGAGUCUGCAACUCGACUUCGUGAAGUCGGAAUCGCUAGUAAUCGUGGAUCAGCAUGCCACGGUGAAUACGUUCCCGGGCCUUGUACACACCGUAGAGAC
rnacentral:rRNA from 1 species